UGAACGCUAGCUACAGGCUUAACACAUGCAAGUCGAGGGGCAGCAUGGUCUUAGCUUGCUAAGGCCGAUGGCGACCGGCGCACGGGUGAGUAACACGUAUCCAACCUGCCGUCUACUCUUGGACAGCCUUCUGAAAGGAAGAUUAAUACAAGAUGGCAUCAUGAGUCCGCAUGUUCACAUGAUUAAAGGUAUUCCGGUAGACGAUGGGGAUGCGUUCCAUUAGAUAGUAGGCGGGGUAACGGCCCACCUAGUCUUCGAUGGAUAGGGGUUCUGAGAGGAAGGUCCCCCACAUUGGAACUGAGACACGGUCCAAACUCCUACGGGAGGCAGCAGUGAGGAAUAUUGGUCAAUGGGCGAGAGCCUGAACCAGCCAAGUAGCGUGAAGGAUGACUGCCCUAUGGGUUGUAAACUUCUUUUAUAAAGGAAUAAAGUCGGGUAUGCAUACCCGUUUGCAUGUACUUUAUGAAUAAGGAUCGGCUAACUCCGUGCCAGCAGCCGCGGUAAUACGGAGGAUCCGAGCGUUAUCCGGAUUUAUUGGGUUUAAAGGGAGCGUAGAUGGAUGUUUAAGUCAGUUGUGAAAGUUUGCGGCUCAACCGUAAAAUUGCAGUUGAUACUGGAUAUCUUGAGUGCAGUUGAGGCAGGCGGAAUUCGUGGUGUAGCGGUGAAAUGCUUAGAUAUCACGAAGAACUCCGAUUGCGAAGGGCAGCCUGCUAAGCUGCAACUGACAUUGAGGCUCGAAAGUGUGGGUAUCAAACAGGAUUAGAUACCCUGGUAGUCCACACGGUAAACGAUGAAUACUCGCUGUUUGCGAUAUACGGCAAGCGGCCAAGCGAAAGCGUUAAGUAUUCCACCUGGGGAGUACGCCGGCAACGGUGAAACUCAAAGGAAUUGACGGGGGCCCGCACAAGCGGAGGAACAUGUGGUUUAAUUCGAUGAUACGCGAGGAACCUUACCCGGGCUUAAAUUGCAGAUGAAUUACGGUGAAAGCCGUAAGCCGCAAGGCAUCUGUGAAGGUGCUGCAUGGUUGUCGUCAGCUCGUGCCGUGAGGUGUCGGCUUAAGUGCCAUAACGAGCGCAACCCUUGUUGUCAGUUACUAACAGGUUCCGCUGAGGACUCUGACAAGACUGCCAUCGUAAGAUGUGAGGAAGGUGGGGAUGACGUCAAAUCAGCACGGCCCUUACGUCCGGGGCUACACACGUGUUACAAUGGGGGGUACAGAGGGCCGCUACCACGCGAGUGGAUGCCAAUCCCCAAAACCUCUCUCAGUUCGGACUGGAGUCUGCAACCCGACUCCACGAAGCUGGAUUCGCUAGUAAUCGCGCAUCAGCCACGGCGCGGUGAAUACGUUCCCGGGCCUUGUACACACCGCCCGUCAAGCCAUGGGAGCCGGGGGUACCUGAAGUGCGUAACCGCGAGGAGCGCCCUAGGGUAAAACUGGUGACUGGGGCUAA
rnacentral:rRNA from 1 species